CCAUGGUUCUACAAUACAACUUCUCUCAGCUUUUUUCACUGAGAAAACUUGCUUGUAAAGUUAUACCUGGUUUUUCAGUUCAAAAGCUAAUGGACUACUUCGGAUGCCAGGCAAACGUGCUGGUGCUCGUUCACACAGGUCGUUUGCUCGGCAACAGACUGUCCGAUCGGAUGGGAAUUUAACGCCGAUUUUUUGAGCUGUUAUUACUUGGUUCAAGAUACACAUACUGACUAUCUAUUAGCAAACAGCACUUGUCAAACACUUGGUGGACAUCUGGCGGCCAUUUCUACUCCGGAGGAGAACUCUUGGAUAAAAACGAAGUUGUAUGCGGACUCAAUAAUGUGGCAACCCGCUUGGAUCCGUUAUGAUGAUAGGUUGUUUGGGUAUCAAAACUUGUCUGUCAGAGUACCUAACGUUCACAGUAAUGAU